AUUUUAACCAUAGCUGAUUAUAAUAGGCAGCCAAAGUUUAAAACCACCGAGUUACUUCUUAGCACAAUUGUUUGGCCUGCAAUUUUAUUAGGAACUCAGGUUUUUGGUUUAUUAUGAUUUCAAGCAUCAGGACUAAGGUAUAAUUACCAGGGUAUUAAGGCAUUGUAGAUACAUAGCUUUACCACACAAAUGCCAGAAUACUGGAAAGGAUAAUCACAUCUCUCAGUUUGAAAAGUCCUGUUUUCAAGCUGCUAUUACAUCCAUCUUCAGAAUUUAUUGCCUAGGGUUUGCAGAUGGUGGAGUGCUACUUAGAAGAGACACCCUGUUGGGAAAACCACAUUGCGGUGCAAUUAAUAACCAGGGAGUUUCCUUUCCACAUCCUCUUAAUUCAUGGCUUGCCAAGCGGUGCCACGUCUGCACCCGGGAUCUGAACCAGUGAACCCCAGGCAGCCGGAAGCGGAACGUGCACACUUAAUUGCUGCUCCACCAGGCCGGCCCCCUAUUUAAAGUGUAAAUCUUGAUGAUUUGAUAUAUAUACACAUUGUAGAACGAUAACCAAGAUCAAGAUAAUUAGCACAUUACCUCACAUAGUUAACUCUUUUUUGUUGUGAGAAUGCUUAAGAUCUACUCUCAGUAACUUUCACACUCUUCACACGUCCUUUCCUCUCUCCAUUGCAGCCACAAAGGACUUCACUCUCACCAGCUUCAUGGCCUUCUCACACAGAAGAGCAACAGCUGAUGUAGUGUAUAUUCCACAUCUAACACAUUGUCACCUGAUAACAUUGUUUAAUUAAUAAACUGAUGAAUGGAUAAAUAAAUAAACACAACAUCCCCAUUAUAAAUAGAACACGUAUUCUAAGUAUAUGGAAGAGGCUAUCAAAUAAUUCUUUUGGACAGUGUUAGAAAAUCAAUUUAUUGUGAUAGGGCUCUGCUGAAUAAUACUGAUAAUCUGAUUUAAUAUUCAUCAC
rnacentral:lncRNA from 1 species